UACGUAGGUGGCAAGCGUUGUUCGGAAUUAUUGGGCGUAAAGAGCGUGUAGGCGGCCAUACAGGUCCGUUGUGAAAACUGGAGGCUUAACCUCCAGACGUCGAUGGAAACCGUAUGGCUAGAGUCCGGAAGAGGAGAGUGGAAUUCCUGGUGUAGCGGUGAAAUGCGCAGAUAUCAGGAAGAACACCCGUGGCGAAGGCGGCUCUCUGGGACGGUACUGACGCUGAGACGCGAAAGCGUGGGGAGCGAACAGG
rnacentral:rRNA from 1 species